UCCUUCUGAAAUAGUUGAGAUCUAAUGGUGCAGUUUUUUUGGUUUUCGCUGUUAUGCUUUGUCUGGAACUGGUAUCCCCAGUUGUCUUGCUGUACCGUUACUUUUCUUUCUAAAAAGCAGAGGUUUCUUGCCUCUUAUAAAAAAACAUGACUUUUCAGACAAUAGUGGUUUUCCAGGCAACAGUCAUGCUCCUUACUAUUAGUAAUCCCUCAUAAGCAAGCCAACCGUCAUAGACUGUGUGCCUGCCACCAUUGUUUGAACGUUUAGGCGCCUCAG
rnacentral:lncRNA from 1 species